GUGAGCGUCCUAGGCUGGCAGCCAUGGCUGGCGGGUCCUUCCUCGCAUGUGCUGCGGCCCUCACCUUAUCUUCCGUCAUCAGGGCACAGGCGCCGUUCAGGGCUAUUCCGAGUCCAGGUAGAGAUGGCUGAGCUCGGUGGCAGGAGAUCAGCCUGCGGUGGAGCAGGGACGUUUGCCCUGGGGAGACACGUGCCACCGGGUGGACAUCGAGGCCCUGUGGGUGGCCCUACAGCGUGGAAGGGAUGACCGAGCUUUGGAAGAUGUCCUGGUAAGUCAGUUGUGGAAGCUCGGUGGCCGGUGAAGCCAAACUCCGUAUCUUGAAUUCAUUUUCAGGACUAAUUCUCUCCCCUAGAUUUCUAGGGACUGGGAGACUGCAGUAUGGGUCGUGCAGGAUUGGAGUGAUAUACUUAGCAAGCCUCCAGCGUGCUUGGGUCUGCAGUGACCCUGUGCAUUCCUACAGUGCUUGCCAGAACAAUUUUGAAGUGGUUUGAGGCCUUGCCCUGCUCUCUCCAGAGCAAGGUUAUAGAAAUUUCAGACAAUAUGGCAGACACCUGCCACGUGGAUAAAUUACAAGCCAGUAAGAUUUGCAAUGCCGCACUUUGGGUUUUUGUUUUGUUUAACUGUGUGGGAUAGUUCUGCACAUGGUGCAGAGGCAAAUAAGUCAUUUCUUUUUG
ensembl:processed_transcript